AAAUUGAAGAGUUUGAUCAUGGCUCAGAUUGAACGCUGGCGGCAGGCCUAACACAUGCAAGUCGAACGGUAGCACAGAGAGCUUGCUCUCAGGUGACGAGUGGCGGACGGGUGAGUAAUGUCUGGGAAACUGCCUGAUGGAGGGGGAUAACUACUGGAAACGGUAGCUAAUACCGCAUAACGUCGCAAGACCAAAGUGGGGGACCUUCGGGCCUCAUGCCAUCAGAUGUGCCCAGAUGGGAUUAGCUAGUAGGUGGGGUAAUGGCUCACCUAGGCGACGAUCCCUAGCUGGUCUGAGAGGAUGACCAGCCACACUGGAACUGAGACACGGUCCAGACUCCUACGGGAGGCAGCAGUGGGGAAUAUUGCACAAUGGGCGCAAGCCUGAUGCAGCCAUGCCGCGUGUAUGAAGAAGGCCUUCGGGUUGUAAAGUACUUUCAGCGAGGAGGAAGGCGGUGAGGUUAAUAACCUCAUCGAUUGACGUUACUCGCAGAAGAAGCACCGGCUAACUCCGUGCCAGCAGCCGCGGUAAUACGGAGGGUGCAAGCGUUAAUCGGAAUUACUGGGCGUAAAGCGCACGCAGGCGGUCUGUUAAGUCAGAUGUGAAAUCCCCGGGCUCAACCUGGGAACUGCAUUUGAAACUGGCAGGCUUGAGUCUUGUAGAGGGGGGUAGAAUUCCAGGUGUAGCGGUGAAAUGCGUAGAGAUCUGGAGGAAUACCGGUGGCGAAGGCGGCCCCCUGGACAAAGACUGACGCUCAGGUGCGAAAGCGUGGGGAGCAAACAGGAUUAGAUACCCUGGUAGUCCACGCUGUAAACGAUGUCGACUUGGAGGUUGUUCCCUUGAGGAGUGGCUUCCGGAGCUAACGCGUUAAGUCGACCGCCUGGGGAGUACGGCCGCAAGGUUAAAACUCAAAUGAAUUGACGGGGGCCCGCACAAGCGGUGGAGCAUGUGGUUUAAUUCGAUGCAACGCGAAGAACCUUACCUACUCUUGACAUCCAGAGAACUUAGCAGAGAUGCUUUGGUGCCUUCGGGAACUCUGAGACAGGUGCUGCAUGGCUGUCGUCAGCUCGUGUUGUGAAAUGUUGGGUUAAGUCCCGCAACGAGCGCAACCCUUAUCCUUUGUUGCCAGCGAUUUGGUCGGGAACUCAAAGGAGACUGCCAGUGAUAAACUGGAGGAAGGUGGGGAUGACGUCAAGUCAUCAUGGCCCUUACGAGUAGGGCUACACACGUGCUACAAUGGCAUAUACAAAGAGAAGCGACCUCGCGAGAGCAAGCGGACCUCAUAAAGUAUGUCGUAGUCCGGAUUGGAGUCUGCAACUCGACUCCAUGAAGUCGGAAUCGCUAGUAAUCGUAGAUCAGAAUGCUACGGUGAAUACGUUCCCGGGCCUUGUACACACCGCCCGUCACACCAUGGGAGUGGGUUGCAAAAGAAGUAGGUAGCUUAACCUUCGGGAGGGCGCUUACCACUUUGUGAUUCAUGACUGGGGUGAAGUCGUAACAAGGUAACCGUAGGGGAACCUGCGGUUGGAUCACCUCCUUACCUGAAAGAA
rnacentral:rRNA from 1 species